UCGACAAGUAGGUUUACGACCUCGAUGUUGGAUCAGGGUAUCCCAGUGGUGCAGCCGCUACUAAAGGUUCGUUUGUUCAACGAUUAAAACCCUACGUGAUCUGAGUUCAGACCGGAGUAAUCCAGGUCAGUUUCUAUCUAUAAUGAAGCUUUUUCUAGUACGAAAGGAUCGGGAAAGCAUGGCCAAUACUAAAUGCAAGCCAUACUCAAUAAUUUAUGAUUAAAACUCAAUAACUAUUUAUUUCUUCACUCAACUCAAGAUAAGAGCA
rnacentral:rRNA from 1 species